UAUACAUGCAAGUCGAACGGUGUCUUCGGACAUAGUGGCGCACGGGUGCGUAACACCUUUGCCACCCACCUUACAUUGGGGGAUAGCCUUUCGAAAGGGAGAUUAAUACCGCAUAAGACAGUAACUAGGCAUCUAGUAGCUGUUAAAGAUUUAUCAAUGUAAGCUGGGCAUGCGACCAAUUAGCUAGUUGGUGAGGUAAUGGCUCACCAAGGCUAUGAUUGGUAGGGGAACUGAGAGGUCAAUCCCCCACACUGGCACUGAGAUACGGGCCAGACUCCUACGGGAGGCAGCAGUAGGGAAUAUUGGGCAAUGGACGCAAGUCUGACCCAGCCAUGCCGCGUGCAGGAUGAAGGCGUUAUGCGUUGUAAACUGCUUUUAUACAGGAAGAAACGACUCUUGCGAGAGGCAUUGACGGUACUGUAUGAAUAAGCACCGGCUAACUCCGUGCCAGCAGCCGCGGUAAUACGGAGGGUGCAAGCGUCGUCCGGAUUUAUUGGGUUUAAAGGGUGCGCAGGUGGUUUAUUAAGUCAGUGGUGAAAGACGGUCGCUCAACGAUUGCAGUGCCAUUGAAACUGGUAGACUUGAGUAAAGUAGAGGUGGGCGGAAUUGAUAGUGUAGCGGUGAAAUGCAUAGAUAUUAUCAAGAACUCCAAUUGCGUAGGCAGCUCACUUGGCUUUUACUGACACUCAUGCACGAAAGUGUGGGUAUCAAACAGGAUUAGAUACCCUGGUAGUCCACACUGUAAACGAUGAUAACUAGGUGUCGGCCGAAUCUGGUCGGUGCCACAGCGAAAGCGUUAAGUUAUCCACCUGGGGAGUACGCCGGCAACGGUGAAACUCAAAGGAAUUGACGGGGGUCCGCACUAGCGGUGGAGCAUGUGGUUUAAUUCGAUGAUA
rnacentral:rRNA from 1 species